AUUAAUCAUCAUACAUAAUGCAAAUGCAAAUCAUGCACGCAUAUCCCGCCCAUUAAUUAAAAUCAAAUCAUAUCAUAUCAUGGUUGACUUUUCACAUAAGUAAACCAUCUUUGUCUUCUUCCGCUUGACUUGGUUCAUCAAAUAAACCACUUUCUUUUCUUCUUAAACCUAACCAUCUCCUCAUACCAUACACAUACACAAACAGAAAUGGGUAAGCCCACCGCAGCGC
rnacentral:lncRNA from 1 species